rnacentral:rRNA from 1 species
GACGAACGCUGGCGGCGUGCUUAACACAUGCAAGUCGAACGGUGAAGGGACUGGUUUUGCUGGUCCUGGAUGAGUGGCGAACGGGUGAGUAACACGUGAGUAACCUGCCCCCUUCUUCUGGAUAACCGCAUGAAAGUGUGGCUAAUACGGGAUAUUCUGGGUCUGUCGCAUGGUGGGCCUGGGAAAGAUUGCGCCUUUUUUGGUGUUUUUGGUGGGGGAUGGGCUCGCGGCCUAUCAGCUUGUUGGUGGGGUGAUGGCCUACCAAGGCGGUGACGGGUAGCCGGCCUGAGAGGGUGGACGGUCACACUGGGACUGAGACACGGCCCAGACUCCUACGGGAGGCAGCAGUGGGGAAUAUUGCACAAGGGGCGCAAGCCUGAUGCAGCGACGCCGCGUGAGGGAUGGAGGCCUUCGGGUUGGGAACCUCUUUCGCCAGUGAAGCAGGCCUGCCUCUUUUUGUGGGUGGGUUGACGGUAGCUGGAUAAGAAGCGCCGGCUAACUACGUG